rnacentral:rRNA from 1 species
ACUCCUACGGGAGGCAUCAGUGGGGAAUAUUGCACAAUGGGGGAAACCCUGAUGCAGCCAUGCCGCGUGUGUGAAGAAGGCCUUCGGGUUGUAAAGCACUUUCAGCGAGGAGGAAAGGUCAGUAGCUAAUAUCUGCUGGCUGUGACGUUACUCGCAGAAGAAGCACCGGCUAACUCCGUGCCAGCAGCCGCGGUAAUAC